CAAAAACAUGUCUGUUUGGAAAUCAAUAGAAAGUCUGGCCUGCCCACUGAUUUAGUUAAAGGGCCGCGGUAAUUUGACCGUGCAAAGGUAGCAUAAUAAAUAGUCUUUUAAUUGAAGGCUUGAAUGAAUGGUCGGAUGAAGAAUAAGCUGUCUUUUUUGUUAUUUUGAAUUUAACUUUUAAGUGAAAAGGCUUAAAUUAUUUAGUGGGACGAAAAGACCCUAUAAAACUUUAUAUGAUAGUUAUAUUAUAAGCAAUUUAAGUCUAAAGCUGUUUUAUAAAAUUGAUAUUUUGUUGGGGCGACAGAAAUAAAAAUGUAACUGUUUUGUAAAUGUAAUAGUCAUUAUUAGAUUUUGAUCCUUUUUAGAGAUUUUAAGAAUAAGUUACUUUAGGGAUAACAGCGUAAUUUUCCUUGAAAGUCCUUAUUGACAGGAAUUAGUUGCGACCUCGAUGUUGAAUUAAAAUUUUUAAGUAGGUGCAGCCGCUUACUCGUAGGGUCUGUUCGACCUUUAAAUUUUUACAUGAUUUGAGUUCAAACCGGUGUGAGCCAGGUGGU
rnacentral:rRNA from 1 species